rnacentral:rRNA from 1 species
GCUAAAUAGCUAGCUUAAUUAUUACAUAAAUAAAAAGACAAAACCUAAAAAGACCAAACAAACCAUUUUUCCACCUUAGUACGGGCGACGAAAGAGGUUCUAUAAGCAAUAGAAAAAGUACCGCAAGGGAAAGCUGAAAGAGCAAUGAAAUAAAUCAUCUAAGCAUAAAAAAGCAGAGACUUAACCUCGUACCUUUUGCAUCAUGAUUUAGCAAGCACUCAACAAGCAAAGAGACCUUUAGUUUGUUUUCCCGAAACCAAGUGAGCUACCCCGGGACAGCCUAAAAGGGCCAACCCGUCUCUGUGGCAAAAGAGUGGGAAGAGCCCCGGGUAGAGGUGAUAGACCUACCGAACUUGGUGAUAGCUGGUUGCCUAAGAAAUGAAUAGAAGUUCAGCCUCGUGCCCCCUUUAAUCAUAUAAGUAAUAUCUAAUUUAGAAAAUAAGAAAAGCAUGAGAGUUAGUUAAAGGGGGUACAGCCCCUUUAACCAAGGAUACAACUUUAUCAGGAGGAUAGGGAUUAUAAUUAAUAAAAUUUAUUGUUUCAGUGGGCCUAAAAGCAGCCACCUGCACAGAAAGCGUUAAAGCUCAGACAAUACAAAAUUUAUUAUUUCAAUAAAAUAUCCCACUCCCCUAAAUGUAUUAGGCCGCUCCAUGGUUUAUUAUGGAAGAGACCAUGCUAAAAUGAGUAACAAGAGACAACAUUUCUCUCCAAGCAUAAGUGUAAGCCGGCCCGGAUAAACCGCCGGCAAUUAACGAACCCAACAAAAGAGGGUAAUAUAAUUAGUAUAAAAUUCAAGAAAAUCGUGUAAUAUUAAAUCGUUAAACCCACACUGGAAUGCCCCAAGGAAAGACUUAAAGAAAGAGAAGGAACUCGGCAAACACAAGCCUCGCCUGUUUACCAAAAACAUCGCCUCCUGCAAAAUUCAAAGUAUAGGAGGUCCAGCCUGCCCAGUGACCACAAGUUCAACGGCCGCGGUAUUUUGACCGUGCAAAGGUAGCGCAAUCACUUGUCUUUUAAAUGAAGACCUGUAUGAAUGGCUAAACGAGGGCUUAGCUGUCUCCUCUUUCAAGUCAGUGAAAUUGAUCUGCCCGUGCAGAAGCGGACAUAAGUAUACAAGACGAGAAGACCCUUUGGAGCUUUAGGUUCAAGCCCAGCCGCGUCAAACAACUUACUCAAUAAGAAUUAAACCUAGCGGAAAGUGGAGCUUUACCUUCGGUUGGGGCGACCACGGAGAAAAAUUUAUCCUCCGAGUGGAUUGGGUUAAUAAACCUAAAACUAAGAAAGACAUUUCUAAGUCACAGAAAAUCUGACCAAACAUGAUCCGGACAACAGACCGAUCAACGGACCAAGUUACCCUAGGGAUAACAGCGCAAUCCUCUCCCAGAGUCCAUAUCGACGAGGGGGUUUACGACCUCGAUGUUGGAUCAGGACAUCCUAAUGGUGCAGCCGCUAUUAAGGGUUCGUUUGUUCAACGAUUAAAGUCCUACGUGAUCUGAGUUCAGACCGGAGUAAUCCAGGUCAGUUUCUAUCUGUAACGUCACUUUUCCUAGUACGAAAGGACCGGAAAAGAGAGGCCCAUGCAAAAGUAUGCCUCACCCAUAAUUAAUGAAAACAACUUAAUUAAAUAAAUGGAGGACCUAUAAAUUAGGCAAAGAUAAUGCCA